rnacentral:rRNA from 1 species
GACUAACGCUGGCGGCGUGCUUAACACAUGCAAGUCUAACGAGAAAGCGGUAGCAAUAUCGUGAGUAAAGUGGCGAACGGGUGAGUAACACGUAACCAAUCUGCCUUGAAGAGGAGGAAAACUGAGGGAAACUUUAGCUAAUCCUCCAUAAUGUGGUGCCUAUCGCAUGAGAACAUCAUUAAAGAUUUACUCGCUUCGGGAAGAGGUUGCGUCUGAUUAGCUAGUUGGCGGGUAAAGGCCCACCAAGGCGACGAUCAGUAGCUGGUCUGAGAGGAUGAUCAGCCACACUGGGACUGAGAUACGGCCCAGACUCCUACGGGAGGCAGCAGUGAGGAAUAUUGCGCAAUGGGCGAAAGCCUGACGCAGCAACGCCGCGUGUA